AAAGAAAAAAAAAAAGAACAUAUAUUAAUAUAUUCAGUUCAUCAAAACAGUCCCUGAAUACACCUCUGUGCAGAACUUGUGCGAGCCUCUGGGGACCCAGGGCUGGUCAGGCUGGCUGGGCAGAAGGGGAUGAAAACAUUGCCUUAUACACACUUGUAGAAUAUGUCGCAAUGGGAGAAAUCUUCCCAUAGCUUCUCAUGAGUCCAGUGAAUUAGGCAGGGCAGGUAUCAUUGUCCCUAUUUUACAGAUCAGGAAAUUGAGGUCCAGUGAGGUGUCUUGGCCAGGACACUCAGUCAGGACGUGACAUGAACACAGGACUGUCUGACUUCAAAUCCAGUGCUCCUUCCCCUGCAGGAUUCAAACCCAGGUCUGCUUGACUAGGAAGGCCGGCCCUCUCCAUGGUGCCAGGACAACUCUUUGGAGAAGAUGCCCCUCUCUCUGCCUGCCUGAAUCUUCUCCGUCCACAAAGGCCUGCUCCAUCCUCCCUCCUCCAGGAAGCUUUCCCUGACUGUCCCCGGGCCCAGCCAGGGUGUCUGGGGGGCUGGAGAGACCCACAGAGCCCUGAUCACCGUGGCUGGCCCGUAAGUGUGGCGACUGAGUCCCAGUCUGGAGGCACAGCUGGACUUUCCCAGAGAGAACUGAGGCAUUGUGGGAAUUUCCCAGCUGUGACCCCAGGACCCUGAUUGCCCAGAAUGGCUCCAAGUUCACAUAUCUAGGGACCGUCACCAAGACUCCUGUAUCUAUAUUAAACUCGGUAAAUGUGAUGACCCUGGAAAUGUGCCCUCAGCAUCACAACCGCACUCUUGGCCCCUCCAGAAUUCAGAGCCACUUUGGGAGUCCACC
rnacentral:lncRNA from 1 species